rnacentral:rRNA from 1 species
UACGUAGGGAGCAAGCGUUGUCCGGAUUUACUGGGUGUAAAGGGUGCGUAGGCGGCCCUGCAAGUCAGAAGUGAAAUCCAUGGGCUUAACCCGUGAACUGCUUUUGAAACUGUAGGGCUUGAGUGAAGUAGAGGCAGGCGGAAUUCCCGGUGUAGCGGUGAAAUGCGUAGAGAUCGGGAGGAACACCAGUGGCGAAGGCGGCCUGCUGGGCUUUAACUGACGCUGAAGCACGAAAGCAUGGGUAGCAAACAGG